rnacentral:rRNA from 1 species
UUUUACUUGAGAGUUUGAUCCUGGCUCAGAAUCAACGCUGGCGGCGUGCCUAACACAUGCAAGUCGCGCGCGAAAGCCCCCGCAAGGGGGCAAGUAGAGCGGCGCACGGGUGAGUAACACGUGGGCAACCUACCCUCGAGUGGGGAACAACCUCGCGAAAGCGAGGCUGAUACCGCAUACGACCUCCGGUCCGCAUGGACCGGAGAGGAAAGCAGCAAUGCGCUGGAGGAGGGACCCGCGGCCGAUUAGCUAGUUGGUGGGGUAACGGCCCACCAAGGCUAUGAUCGGUAUCCGGCCUGAGAGGGCGCACGGACACACUGGAACUGAAACACGGUCCAGACUCCUACGGGAGGCAGCAGUGGGGAAUUUUGCGCAAUGGGGGAAACCCUG